rnacentral:rRNA from 1 species
UACAGAGGUCCCAAGCGUUAUUCGGAAUCACUGGGCUUAAAGCGCGUGUAGGCGGAUGAGAACGUCUGUCGCUGAAAUCCCCCGGCUCAACCGGGGAACUGGCGGAGAUACGGCUCGUCUGGAGGGGCGUAGGGGGACCUGGAACUUCCGGUGGAGCGGUGAAAUGCGUUGAGAUCGGAAGGAACGCCCGUGGCGAAAGCGGGGUCCUGGACGCCUACUGACGCUGAGACGCGAAAGCCAGGGGAGCGAACGGG